CACACAGGCAGACAAGGUGCUGGAGAGGAGCUGAGAGUUCUACGUCUGGAUCAGCAGGUAGCAGGAAGAGAGUGAGACAGUGGGCCUGACAUAAGCUUCUGAAACCUCAAAGCCCACCUCCAGUGACAUAUUUCCCCCAAGGAGGCCACACCUCCUAAUACUGCCACUUCCUAUGAGCCUAUGGGAGCCAUUUUCAUUCAAACGACCACAACGAUGGUGGUGUGGUGGAUUCUAGGACACCAGAGAAUUGAGUGAAAGGCUUCUCUCGGGGUUGUACUGGAAGACUGCCUGGAGGAGUUGGCAGCAAGGUGGGGUUUUAUUAAGCCCAGGUACCCUAGCUGGAGGACCAUGGCAGGAGGCAGGUGGCAGGUGGCAGGUGGCAGGUGGCAGGAGGCAGGAGGCAGGAGGCAGGUAGUAGGAGGCAGGUGGCAGGUGGUAGGAGGCAGGUGGCAGGUGGCAGGUGGCAGGAGGCAGGAGGCAGGUGGUAGGAGGCAGGUGGCUGGUGGUAGGAGGCAGGUAGCAGGUGGUAGGAGGCAGGUGGCAGGAGGCAGAUGGGGAGGGGGCUGUGUUGGACACUGAAGAUGAGGAUGGCUAGAGGAAGCUGCAUCUGGUUCUAUAGGGCCUGUAGUAUACAGCGUGCAAACGAGUGUCUGCCCUGGCCUCACACCCAGUAGGGUGACAUAGAUGAGUGUGUAGGGAGGUGAUGUGGAAUGAGAACUGGAGAGCGUGGAUGAGGAACGAGGGUGGCUGAGGAGGCUUUGGGGGUCUGCUGAGCUGGCCAGGGCUUGAGAAAAAGCUGGCCAAGGGCAAGUGGGAGUUCUGCAAGGCAUGGGAUGGGGUGGUGUGACCCCCCUGGUAAAAGUACUCCUCUACACACAUACACUGUGGGAACUGAGGCCUGAGAGCCAGCUAGGAGCCAGGGCGUGGCUUGUCUGGCUGUGGGAAAGUGAGGCCUGGGGUUGCCAGGCUCUGCAGUAACAGACUCAAGGAAUCUCUGUCUGCUCUGUCUUUGGCAAUCUGGGCCAGAGACCAGGGCCAGUAGAUCUGCAGGGGUCAUUGGAUGUCACCAGGGAUGGCCCCUGUAUCCUGGCUGCCUGACUGGCCUGUCUACAGCCCAUCUGGUGGCUCGAGUGUGCCCAGCUGGUCAUUCUUGCACCCAUACUGGAACACUGUCCCCAUGGACCCAGGAUGGACUUCUAGAGUGAAGGAUUAAGUUGUUGAUGGUAAUCAAGCUCCCAGCAAAGGCAGUAAGUGAAUUGUACUGAUGGAUCAAUUGUGUAAUUGGCAGCUAGCCCUUCUCCCUCACCUCAGUCUGCCCUCUUAUCGGGGUCCCCGUGCUCUUCUAGCUUGUGUCCUGGGGAGGGGGUCAUGUGUCCUGGGGGCACAUCUUGGGAGGCCAUUGAGCAGAGCCUCCUGGCUAGAAAAGCCAUUAAAGCAAACAGGUCUUGGACCAUCUUUUGGCUUUUCCAUUAAGUCCUGUUUGCUUCUGUUUCAUGAAAUGGUUGCUUAAUCCUAUUUGUGACAAGCCUGUAAGCCACAGAUAAAAACAGGGUAUUUGCAUCGAAGAAGCGAGUGGUACUGAGCCUUCCUUCCCUGGGAUAAUAUUAGUUCCUCCAUGCUCCUGGGGUUUGAAAUUUUUACGUGGAGGUUUAAAUAUUCAAAAGAGCUUGUAGGACUCCCC
rnacentral:lncRNA from 1 species